rnacentral:rRNA from 1 species
UAUCCUGUCUGAAUAUGGGGGGACCAUCCUCCAAGGCUAAAUACUCCUGACUGACCGAUAGUGAACCAGUACCGUGAGGGAAAGGCGAAAAGAACCCCGGCGAGGGGAGUGAAAAAGAACCUGAAACCGUGUACGUACAAGCAGUGGGAGCACCCUUUGGGGUGUGACUGCGUACCUUUUGUAUAAUGGGUCAGCGACUUAUAUUCUGUAGCAAGGUUAACCGAAUAGGGGAGCCGGAGGGAAACCGAGUCUUAAUUGGGCGUUAAGUUGCAGGGUAUAGACCCGAAACCCGGUGAUCUAGCCAUGGGCAGGUUGAAGGUUGGGUAACACUAACUGGAGGACCGAACCGACUAAUGUUGAAAAAUUAGCGGAUGACCUGUGGCUGGGGGUGAAAGGCCAAUCAAACCGGGAGAUAGCUGGUUCUCCCCGAAAGCUAUUUAGGUAGCGCCUCGUGAAUUCAUCUCCGGGGGUAGAGCACUGUUUCGGCUAGGGGGCCAUCCCGGCUUACCAACCCGAUGCAAACUGCGAAUACCGGAGAAUGUUAUCACGGGAGACACACGGCGGGUGCUAACGUCCGUCGUGAAGAGGGAAACAACCCAGACCGCCAGCUAAGGUCCCAAAGUCAUGGUUAAGUGGGAAACGAUGUGGGAAGGCCCAGACAGCCAGGAUGUUGGCUUAGAAGCAGCCAUCAUUUAAAGAAAGCGUAAUAGCUCACUGGUCGAGUCGGCCUGCGCGGAAGAUGUAACGGGGCUAAACCAUGCACCGAAGCUGCGGCAGCGACGCUGAUGCGUUGUUGGGUAGGGGAGCGUUCUGUAAGCCUGUGAAGGUGGCCUGUGAGGGUUGCUGGAGGUAUCAGAAGUGCGAAUGCUGACAUAAGUAACGAUAAAGCGGGUGAAAAGCCCGCUCGCCGGAAGACCAAGGGUUCCUGUCCAACGUUAAUCGGGGCAGGGUGAGUCGACCCCUAAGGCGAGGCCGAAAGGCGUAGUCGAUGGGAAACGGGUUAAUAUUCCCGUACUUGGUGUUACUGCGAAGGGGGGACGGAGAAGGCUAUGUUGGCCGGGCGACGGUUGUCCCGGUUUAAGCGUGUAGGCUGGUUUUCCAGGCAAAUCCGGAAAAUCAAGGCUGAGGCGUGA